rnacentral:misc_RNA from 1 species
UGCAUCCAGACGAUACUCUUCUAACAAAUGCACAUUUGCAGAGAUCUCCAAUUUAAUGGUUUAGACAUAACACAUGAAGAGACCCCUAACAUUCUUUAAGAUCCAUCUAGUAGUAGAAUAAAUGAAAAUACAUUAACUGUGGGAUUCUGACUUCAAAAAGUAAAAUCUAAAACCAACAAGGGAGUGCUUUGUACCUGUAGAGCGAGGCUCAG